GCUGUGAUUGAAAAAUGUGGCUUUGAUCAAUUAAACUGAUGUAGCCCAUCUUUUCUCCUCUAAGAAGUUCUGAGCUU